AAAAAGCAGCACUGCGCGCUGUUCGGCCGCUUUCCUGCAGUACACGACGAGUUAUUCUCCCGGAUCUGCACCAGCAGCUGGCCAGGUUUUUGACCUCCUUGUGGUGCUUGCUGAAAAAUGAUAAAGAUGUUUAAUUUGAUGCAAUCCUCUUAUCAACCUGGUGUGCUGUGGGUGUUUUGGAGCCUGGUUCCAGUGACUGUAGUUUGUCGAUGAUGGUGUAAAUUGAAACUUAAGCCAAGCUUUGAGCAGUGAUGUAUGUGCCCUUAUCUCAGAAAGAGGAUGCCUUCAAAUGGGGAUUUAUCAUCCCACCUAAGCUUAGAUGUUUGACUACCUAAAGUUGUCUCCUGAGGCUUCUCUUGAAUGCCAGUGUCAUGGAUUGCAUUCUUCUAGAAUAACAAGCUUGGAUUGUCUACACUUGGUUUUUAGGGCUGGUCCUGCAGGUUGAAGUCUUAACAGCUGGUGCUGGACAAACUGGUCAUUCUUUGGCGCAGACUUCCAUGAUCAGGAUUACAAGCCUGUUAAUGAAGAUACUAGAGCUAACCUUGAAUAAGGUUUAGCUCUGUUUGCGGGUCUGAUCCCCUCGGUGCUGGUGGCCAUUAAUGUAUGUCUG